rnacentral:rRNA from 1 species
UACAGAGGUCCCAAGCGUUGUUCGGAUUCAUUGGGCGUAAAGGGUGCGUAGGUGGCGUCGUAAGUCGGGUGUGAAAUCUCGGGGCUUAACUCCGAAACUGCAUUCGAUACUGCGGUGCUUGAGGACUGGAGAGGAGACUGGAAUUUACGGUGUAGCAGUGAAAUGCGUAGAUAUCGGAAGGAACACCAGUGGCGAAAGCGACUUCCUGGUCCAAUACUGACGUUCAUGUGCGAAAGCGUGGGGAGCAAACAGG